UACGUAGGGGGCAAGCGUUGUCCGGAAUCAUUGGGCGUAAAGAGCGCGUAGGCGGUCCGGUAAGUCCGCUGUGAAAGUCGGGGGCUCAACCCUCGAAUGCCGGUGGAUACUGUCGGGCUAGAGUCCGGAAGAGGCGAGUGGAAUUCCUGGUGUAGCGGUGAAAUGCGCAGAUAUCAGGAGGAACACCAAUGGCGAAGGCAGCUCGCUGGGACGGUACUGACGCUGAGGCGCGAAAGCGUGGGGAGCAAACAGG
rnacentral:rRNA from 1 species